UGGCCCUUUAAUAGCGGCGAGUGAGCGGCAUAGCUCAAAUUUGAAAUCUGGCACCUUCGGUGUCCGAGUUGUAAUUUGAAGAAGGUAUCUUUGGUUUUGGCUCUUGUCUAUGUUCCUUGGAACAGGACGUCACAGAGGGUGAGAAUCCCGUGCGAUGAGAUGCCCAAUUCCAUGUAAAGUUCCUUCGACGAGUCGAGUUGUUUGGGAAUGCAGCUCUAAGUGGGUGGUAAAUUCCAUCUAAAGCUAAAUAUUGGCGAGAGACCGAUAGCGAACAAGUACUGUGAAGGAAAGAUGAAAAGAACUUUGAAAAGAGAGUGAAAAAGUACGUGAAAUUG
rnacentral:rRNA from 1 species